rnacentral:tRNA from 1 species
CGGGGAUUAGCGCAGUUGGUAGCGCGCACGGUUCGGGACUGUGAGGCCGCCGGUUCGAAUCCGGCAUCCCCGA